AGAGUUUGAUCAUGGCUCAGGACGAACGCUGGCGGCGCGCCUAACACAUGCAAGUCGAACGAGAGAGAAGGAGCUUGCUUCUUCGAUCGAGUGGCGAACGGGUGAGUAACGCGUGAGGAACCUGCCUCAAAGAGGGGGACAACAGUUGGAAACGACUGCUAAUACCGCAUAAGCCCACGGGUCGGCAUCGACCAGAGGGAAAAGGAGCAAUCCGCUUUGAGAUGGCCUCGGCGUCCGAUUAGCUAGUUGGUGAGGUAACGGCCCACCAAGGCGACGAUCGGUAGCCGGACUGAGAGGUUGAACGGCCACCAUUGGGACUGAGACACGGCCCAGACUCCUACGGGAGGCAGCA
rnacentral:rRNA from 1 species